rnacentral:rRNA from 1 species
UACGAAGGGUGCAAGCGUUAUUCGGAAUUACUGGGCGUAAAGGGCGCGUAGGUGGUUUGUUAAGUCUGCUGUGAAAUCCCCGGGCUCAACCUGGGAAUGGCAGCGGAUACUGGCAAGCUAGAGUGCGGUAGAGGGUAGUGGAAUUCCCGGUGUAGCAGUGAAAUGCGUAGAGAUCGGGAGGAACACCAGUGGCGAAGGCGGCUACCUGGACCAGCACUGACGCUGAAGCACGAAAGCGUGGGGAGCAAACAGG